AUACAUGCAGUCGAGCGGACAGAAGGGAGCUUGCUCCCGGAUGUUAGCGGCGGACGGGUGAGUAACACGUGGGUAACCUGCCUGUAAGACUGGGAUAACUCCGGGAAACCGGAGCUAAUACCGGAUAGUUCCUUGAACCGCAUGGUUCAAGGAUGAAAGACGGUUUCGGCUGUCACUUACAGAUGGACCCGCGGCGCAUUAGCUAGUUGGUGAGGUAACGGCUCACCAAGGGCAACGAUGCGUAGCCGACCUGAGAGGGUGAUCGGCCACACUGGGACUGAGACACGGCCCAGACUCCUACGGGAGGCAGCAGUAGGGAAUCUUCCGCAAUGGACGAAAGUCUGACGGAGCAACGCCGCGUGAGUGAUGAAGGUUUUCGGAUCGUAAAGCUCUGUUGUUAGGGAAGAACAAGUGCAAGAGUAACUGCUUGCACCUUGACGGUACCUAACCAGAAAGCCACGGCUAACUACGUGCCAGCAGCCGCGGUAAUACGUAGGUGGCAAGCGUUGUCCGGAAUUAUUGGGCGUAAAGGGCUCGCAGGCGGUUUCUUAAGUCUGAUGUGAAAGCCCCCGGCUCAACCGGGGAGGGUCAUUGGAAACUGGGAAACUUGAGUGCAGAAGAGGAGAGUGGAAUUCCACGUGUAGCGGUGAAAUGCGUAGAGAUGUGGAGGAACACCAGUGGCGAAAGCGACUCUCUGGUCUGUAACUGACGCUGAGAGCGAAAGCGUGGGGAGCGAACAGAUUAGAUACCCUGGUAGUCCACGCCGUAAACGAUGAGUGCUAAGUGUUAGGGGGUUCCGCCCCUUAGUGCUGCAGCUAACGCAUUAGCACUCGCCUGGGGAGUACGUCGCAGACUGAACUCAAGAUGACUGGGCCCGCACAGCGUGAGCAUGUGUUUAUCGAGCACGCGAGACUACAGUCU
rnacentral:rRNA from 1 species